rnacentral:ncRNA from 1 species
GAACUAAACGGGCAAACAUGCAGGGGUGCAAAGCCACAGGGUCUUCUUUCGCACAGGGACGACAGCCGGUUGCCGCA